GACGAACGCUGGCGGCGUGCUUAACACAUGCAAGUCGAACGGUGAAGCGCCUUCCUUUUUGGUGGGUUGUUAUGGGUGGCGAACGGGUUAGUAACACGUUAGUAACCUGCUCCCUUCUUCUGGAUAACCGCAUGCAAGUGUUGCUAAUACGGGAUAUUUUGAGUCUCUCGCUUGAUGGGUCUGGGAAAGAUUUUGUUUCGGUUGGGGAUGGGCUCGCGGUCUAUCAGCUUGUUGGUGGGGUGAUGGCCUACCAAGGCGGCGACGGGUAGCCGGCCUGGGAGGGUGGACGACCACAGAGGGACGGAGACACCGACCCGCCUACUACGGGAGGCAGCAGGGAAGAAUAUGGAACGGUGGGAGCAAGGAUGAUGCAGCGACGCGGCGGGAGGGAUGGAGGCCUGCGGGUAGAGAACCUCUUUCGCGAGUGAAGCAGGCCUGCCUCGUCUGUGGAUAGGUUGACGGUAGCUGGACAAGAAGCGCCGGCUAACUACGUG
rnacentral:rRNA from 1 species